ensembl:lncRNA
GUUUGCAGUUCCUGGUCACAAGCUGACCUCAGCUGUUCCACCUGAGUGGCUUUUCUGAGCUGUGCUGAGAUCCACUUACCUCCCACCUGGCUGCCCCGUCAACCCGUAGUGACUUCUCCAUCAGGGUUUUAGGUGAGCCUUUCCCUUUGGCUGCUUGGGCCUGUCUUCAGAACCUGAUGGAUGCUCCAGGGGCUUGGAGCCGACUGUGAAAAGCUGGAGAGGUCUGUGGUCCAGUGGAGAAGGGUUGGAUUGAGAACACCCGGGAAAGAGAAAGUCAGGGUAACUUACAGAUGAAGAAAUGAAAGACCUUGAAUGAGAGAGGAAAGUCUUUUUAAUGUAGAUGCAGUAAACCUCAGAGC